UACGUAGGGCGCAAGCGUUGUCCGGAAUUAUUGGGCGUAAAGAGCUCGUAGGUGGUGUGUCGCGUCUGCCGUGAAAGCCCGGGGCUUAACUCCGGGUCUGCGGUGGAUACGGGCAGACUAGAGGCAGGUAGGGGAGAACGGAAUUCCCGGUGUAGCGGUGAAAUGCGCAGAUAUCAGGAGGAACACCGGUGGCGAAGGCGGAUCUCUGGGCCAUUACUGACGCUGAGGAGCGAAAGCGUGGGGAGCGAACAGG
rnacentral:rRNA from 1 species